GAGUCAAAGCCCAGGAUUGUACAUCGAGACGUCAAAGCCAGUAAUAUUUUGCUAGAUGCAGAACUCUCCCCAAAAAUAUCAGAUUUUGGAUGGGCAAAGCUUUAUGAUGACAAGAAAACACACAUGAGCACCCGGGUUGCAGGCACAAUGUAAGCCCUCGUUUAUGUUAUACAUUGUUAAUCAUGACUAGGGAGGGUGUAAUCCAAGCAACGUUUUUAGUAAGCAUUUGAUAAUCUUGUAGAGGCUAUUUGGCGCCGGAGUAUGCAAUGCGCGGACAUCUGACAGAAAAGGCUGAUGUUUUUGGUUUCGGGGUUGUUGCUUUGGAGAUCCUCAGCGGGAGACCAAAUUCUGAGAACAACUUGGAUCCUGAGAGGAUUUAUCUUCUUGAAUGGCAUGGACUCUACAUGAAAACGACCAGAGUCUGGGGCUGGUGGAUCCAAGAUUGACAGAGUUUGAUGAAAAUGACGCAACUAGUUUGAUAAAAGCAGCUCUCCUCUGCACUCAGGCUUCACCAAUGAUGAGGCCAUCGAUGUCACGUGUGGUGGCAAUACUUUCUGGAGAUAUUGAAGCAAGCACUGUUAUGUCAAAGCCAAGUUAUUCGGCAGAUUGGGAUUUCAAAGAUGUAACCACAAGACAAGUAGCUUUUUGGUGGAUGAUGAUACCUCAUCAACUGAGAGCAAUGUUCUCCUCAACCAUCAGCCUGAAGGGAGCACAACCGGUGCUAGCCCCAGGAUUGACCCUGCCCGUCUCAGGUAAAUGUGACUGGAUCAAUGCUCACUGGCAUUAUAGGAGAAGGAAUGUGAGAAAUAAGAAGUUUCCAUUGUCUUAUUAUUUGGUAUGAGAAAUGAGGAUGGCUUGCACUUCAUCAAACUAGCCUUGUACUGUUUAUGAAUUCUCUUAUUAUUAGGUAUUUUCUUUCAAGACACAGCUGAAGGUGAUCUUGAAAAGUUCCAUAUAAAAUUUACCUUGCAAAUGUAAAUAUGCACUUGGAUCCUAUGCAGAAUUGAGUUUUUUUUC